GAUGAACGCUGGCGGCGUGCUUAACACAUGCAAGUCGAACGGAAAGGUAAGGAGUUUGCGCCUUGCACGUGAGCCGCAGGGGUGAGAAUAACGCGAGUAUAAUGUACUUGUAAGAGGGAUAUCAUCAGGGAACAGCGGAGAAAACAGGAUAGGAGAUUUGGAAGCACGGGGUUGGAUGGAGAGAUUCGGCGGUGGGGGCUGUAAUCGAGGGUUAUGAGCUUGAUGGUGGGGUUGUGGCUUACCAGGGCUAUGACGGGUAGGCGGCCUGAGAGGCUGACCGGCCACAAUGGGACUGAGAUACGGCCCAGACUCCUACGGGAGGCAGCAGUGGGGAAUAUUGCACAAUGGGCGGAAGCCUGAUGCAGCAACGCCGCGUGCGUAAUGACGGCCUUCGGGUUGUAAACCGCUUUCGCCUGUGACGAAGCGUGAGUGACGGUAAUUGGUAAAGAAGCACCGGCUAACUACGUG
rnacentral:rRNA from 1 species